GCAAGCGUUAAUCGGAAUUACUGGGCGUAAAGCGCGCGUAGGUGGUUUGUUAAGUUGGAUGUGAAAGCCCUGGGCUCAACCUAGGAACUGCAUCCAAAACUAACUCACUAGAGUACGAUAGAGGGAGGUAGAAUUCAUAGUGUAGCGGUGGAAUGCGUAGAUAUUAUGAAGAAUACCAGUGGCGAAGGCGGCCUCCUGGAUCUGUACUGACACUGAGGUGCGAAAGCGUGGGUAGCGAACAGGAUUAGAUACCCUGGUAGUCCACGCCGUAAACGAUGACAACUAGCUGUUAGGAGACUAUGUCUUUUAGUGGCGCAGCUAACGUUUUAAGUUGUCCGCCUGGGGAGUACGGCCGCAAGGCUAAAACUCAAAUGAAUUGACGGGGACCCGCACAAGCAGUGGAUCAUGUGGUUUAAUUCGAUGCAACGCGAAAAACCUUACCUACUCUUGACAUACUUGGAAGCUCUUGUAAUGAGAGUGUGCUUUUAAGAACCAAGAUACAGGUGCUGCAUGGCUGUCGUCAGCUCGUGUCGUGAGAUGUUCCGUUAAGUCGGAUAACGAGCGCAACCCUUACCCUUAUUUGCCAGCGAUUCGGUCGGGAACUAUAAGGGGACUGCCGGUGAUAAACCGGAGGAAGGUGAGGACGACGUCAAGUCAUCAUGGCCCUUACGAGUAGGGCUACACACGUGAUACAAUGGGAGAGACAGACGGACGCUAAGCCGCGAGGUGGUGCUAAUCCUAUAAAGUUCUUCGUAGUCCGGAUUGGAGUCUGCAACUCGACUCCAUGAAGU
rnacentral:rRNA from 1 species